GAUGAACGCUGGCGGCGUGCCUAAUACAUGCAAGUCGAGCGAACGGACGAGAAGCUUGCUUCUCUGAUGUUAGCGGCGGACGGGUGAGUAACACGUGGAUAACCUACCUAUAAGACUGGGAUAACUUCGGGAAACCGGAGCUAAUACCGGAUGAUAUUUUGAACCGCAUGGUUCAAAAGUGAAAGACGGUCUUGCUGUCACUUAUAGAUGGAUCCGCGCUGCAUUAGCUAGUUGGUAAGGUAACGGCUUACCAAGGCAACGAUGCAUAGCCGACCUGAGAGGGGGGUCGGCCCCACUGGAACUUGGACACGGGCCAGAAUCCCAAGGGGGGGAGCAGGAGGGAAAUCUCCCGCAAUGGGGGAAGGCUGGCGGGGCCAAGCCCCGGGAGGGAUGAAGGGCUUUCGAAUGUAAAACCUCUUUUAUUGGGGAAAAAAAAUGUGUAAAUAAACUUGCAACAUUUGAACGGAACUUAACAAAAAACCCCCGGUAAACAACGG
rnacentral:rRNA from 1 species